rnacentral:rRNA from 1 species
AUUGAACGCUGGCGGCAGGCCUAACACAUGCAAGUCGAGCGGAUGAGAGGAGCUUGCUUCUCGAUUCAGCGGCGGACGGGUGCGUAAUGCCUAGGAAUCUGCCUGGUAGUGGGGGACAACGUUUCGAAAGGAACGCUAAUACCGCAUACGUCCUACGGGAGAAAGCAGGGGACCUUCGGGCCUUGCGCUAUCAGAUGAGCCUAGGUCGGAUUAGCUAGUUGGUGAGGUAAUGGCUCACCAAGGCGACGAUCCGGAACUGGUCUGAGAGGAUGUUCAGUCACACUGGAACUGAGACACGGGCCAGACUCCUACGGGAGUCAGAAGUGGGGAAUAUUGGACAAUGGGCGAAAGUCUGAUCCAGCCAGGCCGCGUGUGUGAAGAAGGUUUUCGGAUUGUAAAGCACUUUAAGUUGGGAGGAAGGGCAGUAAGUUAAUACCUUGCUGUUUUGACGUUACCGACAGAAUAAGCACCGGCUAACUUCGUGCCAGCCGCCGCAGUAACAC